GUGGGGAAUAUUGGGCAAUGGGGGAAACCCUGACCCAGCAACGCCGCGUGAGGGAAGAAGGUUUUCGGAUUGUAAACCUCUGUCCUUGGUGACGAAGGAAGUGACGGUAACCAAGGAGGAAGCCCCGGCUAACUACGUGCCAGCAGCCGCGGUAAUACGUAGGGGGCAAGCGUUGUCCGGAAUGACUGGGCGUAAAGGGCGUGUAGGCGGCCGAUUAAGUCUGGAGUGAAAGUCCUGCUUUCAAGGUGGGAAUUGCUUUGGAGACUGGUUGGCUUGAGUGCGGAAGAGGUAAGUGGAAUUCCCAGUGUAGCGGUGAAAUGCGUAGAGAUUGGGAGGAACACCAGUGGCGAAGGCGACUUACUGGGCCGUAACUGACGCUGAGGCGCGAAAGCGUGGGGAGCGAACAGGAUUAGAAACCGGGUAGUCC
rnacentral:rRNA from 1 species